rnacentral:tRNA from 2 species
GGUUCCGUAGCUCAACUGAAUAGAGCACUUGACUACGGAUCAAGAGGUUACAGGUUUGAAUCCUGUCGGAAUCAC